AGAGUUUGAUCAUGGCUCAGAAUGAACGCUGGCGGCACGCUUAACACAUGCAAGUCGAACGAGAUCUUCGGAUCUAGUGGCAGACGGGUGAGUAACGCGUGGGAACCUGCCCAGUAGUAGAGGACAACUUGGGGAAACUUAAGCUAAUACUUUAUACGUCCUUCGGGAGAAAGCUUUAUGCGCUAUUGGAUGGGCCCGCGUUAGAUUAGUUUGUUGGUGAGGUAAUGGCUCACCAAGACUACGAUCUAUAGCUGGUCUGAGAGGAUGAUCAGCCACACUGGGACUGAGACACGGCCCAGACUCCUACGGGAGGCAGCAGUGGGGAAUAUUGGACAAUGGGGGCAACCCUGAUCCAGCGAUGCCGCGUGAGUGAUGAAGGCCCUAGGGUUGUAAAACUCUUUCGUCAGGGAAGAUAAUGACGGUACCUGAAGAAGAAGAUCCGGCUAACUCCGUGCCAGCAGCCGCGGUAAUACGGAGGGAUCUAGCGUUAUUCGGAAUUACUGGGCGUAAAGCGAGCGUAGGCGGAUUUGUAAGUUGGAGGUGAAAUCCCAGAGCUUAACUCUGGAACUGCCUUCAAAACUACAUUUCUUGAGUUUGGUAGAGGAGAGUGGAAUUCCUAGUGUAGAGGUGAAAUUCGUAGAUAUUAGGAGGAACACCAGUGGCGAAGGCGACUCUCUGGGCCAAUACUGACGCUGAGGUUCGAAAGCAUGGGUAGCGAACAGGAUUAGAUACCCUGGUAGUCCAUGCAGUAAACGAUGAGUGCUAGAUGUUGGGAAUUUAAAUUUCCAGUAUCGCAGUUAACGCGUUAAGCACUCCGCCUGGGAAGUACGGCCGCAAGGCUAAAACUCAAAUGAAUUGACGGGGACCCGCACAAGCGGUGGAUCAUGUGGUUUAAUUCGAAGAUACGCGAAGAACCUUACCGGCCCUUGACAUACCAAUCGCGGACUUAAGAGAUUAAGUCUUUCACUUCGGGUGGAUUGGAUACAGGUGCUGCAUGGCUGUCGUCAGCUCGUGUCGUGA
rnacentral:rRNA from 1 species